GACGUAGGAGGCGAGCGUUAUCCGGAUUCACUGGGCGUAAAGCGCAUGUAGGCGGUUUGAAAAGUCCGCGGUUAAAGCCCCCGGCUCAACUGGGGGAGGUCCGUGGAGACUUUUAGACUUGAGGGCAACAGAGGCACGUGGAACUCCCGGUGUAGCGGUGGAAUGCGUAGAGAUCGGGAAGAACACCAGUGGCGAAGGCGACGUGCUGGGUUGCGACUGACGCUGAGAUGCGAAAGUGUGGGGAGCAAACGGG
rnacentral:rRNA from 1 species